CGUGGGUAACCUGCCUUAUAGUGGGGGAUAGCCUUUCGAAAGGAAGAUUAAUACCGCAUAAGAUUGUAGUAUCGCAUGAUAUAGCAAUUAAAGGAGCAAUUCGCUAUAAGAUGGACCCGCGUCGCAUUAGCUAGUUGGUGAGGUAAUGGCUCACCAAGGCGACGAUGCGUAGCCGACCUGAGAGGGUGAUCGGCCACAUUGGGACUGAGACACGGCCCAGACUCCUACCGGGAGGCAGCAUG
rnacentral:rRNA from 1 species